rnacentral:rRNA from 1 species
AGCGUAGGCGGACAGUUAAGUCAGAGGUGAAAGCCCAGGGCUCAACCCUGGAAUUGCCUUUGAUACUGAUUGUCUUGAGUAUGGGAGAGGUAUGCGGAACUCCGAGUGUAGAGGUGAAAUUCGUAGAUAUUCGGAAGAACACCAGUGGCGAAGGCGGCAUACUGGCCCAUUACUGACGCUGAGGCUCGAAAGCGUGGGAGCAAACA